rnacentral:rRNA from 1 species
CAGUCGCCGCGGUAAUACAGAGGAUGCAAGCGUUAUCCGGAAUGAUUGGGCGUAAAGCGUCUGUAGGUGGCUUUUCAAGUCAGUCGUCAAAUCCCUGGGCUCAACCCUGGACAAGCAGUGGAAACUACCAAGCUGGAGUAUAGUAGGGGCAGAGUGAAUUUCCGGUGGAGCGAUGAAAUGCGUUGAGAUCAGAAAGAACACCAACGGCGAAAGCACUCUGCUGGGCCGACACUGACACUGAGAGACGAAAGCUAGGGGAGCAAAUGGGAUUAGAUACCCGCGUAGUCCCUGUCUCUUAUAC